UCAAAAUGGAGAGUUUGAUCCUGGCUCAGGAUGAACGCUGGCGGUCUGCUUAACACAUGCAAGUCGAACGGGAGUAGAAAUACUCCAGUGGCGGACGGGUGAGUAACGCGUGAGAAUCUGCCUUCUGGUCGGGGACAACCAUUGGAAACGAUGGCUAAUACCGGAUGAGCCUGCGGGUAAAAGAUUAAUUGCCAGAAGAGGAGCUCGCGUCUGAUUAGCUAGUUGGUGGGGUAAAAGCUCACCAAGGCGUCGAUCAGUAGCUGGUCUGAGAGGACGAUCAGCCACACUGGGACUGAGACACGGCCCAGACUCCUACGGGAGGCAGCAGUGGGGA
rnacentral:rRNA from 1 species